rnacentral:lncRNA from 1 species
UCAAAUUAAGCCAAAAAAACAAACAAACAAAGAAACAAGAACAAAGGAACUCAAAUUACACCAACUUAAAAGACACAACCAAAAGCCAGAAAGAAAAUUCCCUGGAACAACAGCACCAGCAUGACAAUGGAUUGUCUCCCGUGGAGACUCUCCGAUUUCCUGAUGUGUGGUCAUCGACUCGACACCAUUCAAUCACUUUUUUUAAUUUUUAAAAUGUUUAUUCUUUUAAUUUUAAUUGUCAUGAUUGAACUGGACUCUCCAUUUGACAGGAGAGAAUCCAGUCUCCACCAGCACCACACAGAGAAAAAUAAAAGAAAACAUA